rnacentral:tRNA from 1 species
GGUGCUGCACCGAUGGACGGGUAACUCUGAUGACGUUAAGCACAGGAAAUUUUCCUCAGCACCU